GAUGAACGCUGGCGGCGUGCUUAACACAUGCAAGUCGAACGAUGAAGGGAGCUUGCUCCUGGAUUAGUGGCGAACGGGUGAGUAACACGUGAGUAACCUGCCCUUGACUCUGGGAUAAGCCUGGGAAACUGGGUCUAAUACCGGAUAUGACCUUCCAUCGCAUGGUGGUUGGUGGAAAGCUUUUGUGGUUUUGGAUGGACUCGCGGCCUAUCAGCUUGUUGGUGGGGUAAUGGCCUACCAAGGCGGUGACGGGUAGCUGGUCUGAGAGGAUUGCCAGCCACAUUGGGACUGAGAGACGGCCCAGACUCCUACGGGAGGCAGCAGUGGGGAAUCUUGCGCAAUGGCCUAACGGCUGACGCAGCGACGCCGCGUGGGGGAGGAAGGGCUUCGGCUCGUAAACCCCUGUUGCCCGGGGCGAACAUCCCUUUUCGAGGGGACUGACGGUACCGGGUGAGGAAGCACCGGCUAACUCCGUGCCAGCAGCCGCUGUAACAC
rnacentral:rRNA from 1 species